ACAGUUCGGUCCAUAUCCGGUGCAGGCGCAAGAAGAUUGAGAGGAGUCCUCCCUAGUACGAGAGGACCGGGAGGGACGCACCGCUGGUGUACCUGUUAUCGUGCCAACGGUAAACGCAGGGUAGCCAUGUGCGGAGUGGAUAACCGCUGAAAGCAUCUAAGUGGGAAGCCCACCUCAAGAUGAGUCUUCUCAUGGAAUAAUCCAGUAAGGUCACGGGCAGAACACCCGUUGAUAGGCGUUAAGUGGAAGUCCUGAGAGGGAUGAAGCUGAGACGUACUAAUAGACCGAGGGCUUGACCUC
rnacentral:rRNA from 2 species